UACAGAGGUCUCAAGCGUUGUUCGGAUUCAUUGGGCGUAAAGGGUGCGUAGGUGGCGCUGUAAGUCGGGUGUGAAAUUUCGGAGCUUAACUCCGAAACUGCAUUCGAUACUGCGGUGCUUGAGGACUGGAGAGGAGACUGGAAUUCAUGGUGUAGCAGUGAAAUGCGUAGAGAUCAUGAGGAAGACCAGUGGCGAAGGCGGGUCGUCUGGACAGUUCCUGACACUGAGGCACGAAGGCCCAGGGGAGCAAACGGG
rnacentral:rRNA from 1 species